UGACGUCACUUCAGACACCCUUAAACCUUCAGCCAUUUUCACUCAUUCACUGUAAGACGGUCAGAGAGGGCGGAGGGAUUUCUAGUACCACAUUAACCGCACUCUACCACACCUCACCACACCACCACAGCCGCCACAGAGCACGUAGAAGGUCACAAUCACAGCAUCACAGUGUCCACACAGCCCCACAGCCCCGCCCCAGCCUUGCUCCAGCCUCUCAUCCCACCGCCCCAUGGCCCAGUGAACCACGCCGCCCCACAGCCCCGCCAGCAUGAUGGGGGGGGUGCGGUAGCCAGUAUGGGGCAGAGUGCGAGCCACCAUCACCACCACCACAUCCACCACCACCACCACCACUGUCCCAUGGAUGCCCCACAGGACAGCCCCGCCUCGCCCCGGCAGGUGAGGCAGCGCGUGCAGCAGCAGCAGCAGGAGAGGGAGCUGAGUGAGGGUGUCGGGGCCGGGGCGGGGCCUGGCGGGUGCUGCGGGACGGCCUCCUGCAGCUGUGGGGGGGGCCUGUCCUCCACCGCCGCCCUGUAUGGCACCACCCCAGCCCCACGCACCCCGGACACCACCCCGCCUCGCCCCGUGGUGGUGACGCCGCCCCGCUCCCUGCCCCCACACCACCACCACCACCACCACCAGUGGCCAGAGUCGCCGUCCACCCCAGGGGGUGUGAACCCCGCCACUGCUUCCCCCAGCGGGUGCAGCUGUGGGCCAGGGGGUGGGGCAGGGCGGGGCUGCAGCCACUGGUGCUCCGCCUGUCGGGUGCGGGUCCAACUGCAGGUGGAGUGUGUUGGGGGCGUGGAGGGGCGCCCCGCUGCUUCCCGGGGUGGCCGCCUGCGCACCCUGGCCUUCCCUAAGCGGGGCCGGCACAAGGCCAAGGCGCCGCCCCGCGACGCCCCGCCACAGCCCAAGAAGAAGAAGGCGCCCUGGACGCUGCGCCUCAACUGUCGCCUCCGCCCCUCCAAGGGCGAGGCGGAGGAGGCCCCGGGGGCGCCCCAGGCAGCCGCCGCCAGUGUGGGGUGCGGGGGCUGCAUGUGCCCCGGCCUGCGCCGCCCUGACCCAGACCCCCUGCACUCCCUCCACCACCUGCACCUCCACCACACUCGCUCCGCCCCAGAGGAGAGUGCGGGGGGCGGGGGAGGUGGAGCAGCGUCGCCGGGCGGGGCGGUGGCGCUGCGUGCCCCGGUCAUUGACCUGUCCCGGUUCAACCCCGAGGCAUUCCCCAUCGAGGACUGGGAGGAGCGGGCGCGGCAGGAGCGGGCGCGUGAGAUGGCGGAGGGGGUGGAGCCCCCCCCAGGCUUCACCUCAGACCCUGCCCCGGGGGCUGUGGGGAGCCUGGCCCUGACACACCUGCAGCUGCAGCACCAGCACCACCUGCAGCUGCAGCAGGCGGGGGCGGCGGCCGCCAGCCUGCCGGUGCCGUACAACCCCAUGCUGGACCUGCACCUGCUGCUGGAGCGGUCGCUGCGCCUGGGCCUGGCGGGGCCCGGGGCGCUGCUGCAGCAGGUGGGGCGGCUGGCGGGGAGUGGCGGGGCAGGGGGAGGUGAGGGGGCGGUGGUGCAGCGGACGGUGCACACACAGGUGGACUACAUCCACUGCCUGGUGCCGGACCUGCUGGCCAUCACCAACUGUGUGUUCUACUGGGGCAAGAUGGACCGCUACGAGGCGGAGCGGCUGCUGGAGGGGCGGCCGGAGGGCACCUUCCUGCUGCGGGACUCAGCGCAGGAGGAGUACCUGUUCAGCGUGUCAUUCCGUCGGUACGGGCGGUCGCUGCACGCCCGGAUAGAGCAGUGGAACCACCGCUUCAGCUUUGACUCGCAUGACCCGGGGGUGUUCGCCGCACACACCGUCUGUGGCCUCAUUGAGCACUACAAGGACCCCUCAUGCUGCAUGUUCUUUGAGCCCAUGCUGACCAACCCCCUGCCCCGCACCUUCCCCUUCCCCCUGCAGCACCUCUGCCGCGCCGCCAUCUGCUCCACCACCACCUACGACGGCAUCACCACCCUCCGCCUCCCCAAGCCCCUCCACGCCUACCUCAAGGAGUACCACUACAAACAGAGGGUCCGUGUCAGGAGGCUGGACCACUAGGACAACACCACCACCACUCACAACACCACUGCAACACCACAACACCACUACAACACCACUGCAACACCACAAGCAAAGGAACACCAUCACAACACCACAAGCAACACCAAAAUAACUCAAAUCUAACCUCAAAACACCAUGCAACACCUCAUCAACACCACAUCAACACCAUAACUCUGCCACUAACACUAACACCACUUCUACACCACAUCAACACCACUGCCACUAUACCACUACAAGUAAAGGGUGGUGUUGUCCUACACCAUUAGGACAACACCACUACAACACCAAAA
rnacentral:misc_RNA from 1 species